UACGUAGGGAGCAAGCGUUGUUCGGAUUUACUGGGCGUAAAGAGCGCGCAGGCGGUCGUGCAAGUCGCGUGUGAAAGCCCCCGGCUCAACUGGGGAGGGUCACGCGAUACUGCUCGACUUGAAGGCAGGAGAGGGAAGUGGAAUUCCCGGUGUAGUGGUGAAAUGCGUAGAUAUCGGGAGGAACACCAGUGGCGAAGGCGACUUCCUGGCCUGUUCUUGACGCUGAGGCGCGAAAGCUAGGGGAGCAAACGGG
rnacentral:rRNA from 1 species